UCUAGCACAAGGGCCUGGGUUUCUAAUUGCUAGCAUGCGUGCACAAUGUUAUACAUAGACACAUUUUCCUCAAACCCCAAAUUCAGAAGGAGAUCCUAACAUCAUUUAACCACGGCUGCCACUGGUAGAACGAUGAUUUCACUUUUUCUUUCUACUUCUUAUAUUUUCUAACACGUUUACAAGAAGAAAGUGUGGAGUUGGUAAGGAGAGAGAGAGAGAGCAAAAACAACAACAAAACAAAACAAAACUUAUCUUCAAAAAGGAAGAGCUCCAACAAGAUCCAACUCUACACGAUGUUUUAAAAGAUAUGAAAUUAACACCAAUUUCAGUGGUGUGCUAUAGAUGUCCUCACAGCUAUGCAGAUCAAAGGGACGAGGAGACAGGCUGCUAGUGAGAGGUAAGAUGGCCAAGGACAGGGAGCUGCUGAGGACUCGACGGCAUAAAGAAAUAAUUCAAGGUGGAAUCAACUCCCUGAGACUCUGUGUCUCCCACAGCAGAAGAACAAGCUUAGAUGGAAGCCAGGUGAAAGGACAAACAAUGGAUACUAGUGUGAAGAUGCAGGGUCGUGAUGAGCUGCUCGCUUGUGUUUGUGCACGCCUGCUGUGUACAGUGGCAGGGUCGAAGCAAUUCAAGCCAAUGCGAAACACACUUAACCUGAGAACGGAGGCACACAACUGUCAUCUCAACACCAAGGGGAUUUACCCAGCAUCCUUCCCCACCGGGACAGUAGCUGUGCCUCUGCUCAGCCGGAAACCGUAGGGCUUUGCCCUCAUCCUACAUCCAGAAAGCUCGGGGAUGCUGCACACCUACCCACAUGGUUUCCUUAAACCUCAACUAGUUCAAUGCUCAUCUCAAGAGGCUGUGGGGAACCACAGUCACCUCUGACUAGAAGGAAGAGGGGUUUCCCGGCUGUUUGUGCAAAACCUCAUUUCUGCCCAAGUGAGGGUAUUUAAUCAGAAGUCCUCCCUCUCUGUGACUCUCC
rnacentral:lncRNA from 1 species